CCUACGGGAGGCUGCAGUGGGGAAUAUUGCACAAUGGGCGCAAGCCUGAUGCAGCCAUGCCGCGUGUGUGAAGAAGGCCUUCGGGUUGUAAAGCACUUUCAGCGGGGAGGAAGGCGGUGAGGUUAAUAACCUCAUCGAUUGACGUUACCCGCAGAAGAAGCACCGGCUAACUCCGUGCCAGCAGCCGCGGUAAUACGGAGGGUGCAAGCGUUAAUCGGAAUUACUGGGCGUAAAGCGCACGCAGGCGGUCUGUCAAGUCGGAUGUGAAAUCCCCGGGCUCAACCUGGGAACUGCAUUCGAAACUGGCAGGCUAGAGUCUUGUAGAGGGGGGUAGAAUUCCAGGUGUAGCGGUGAAAUGCGUAGAGAUCUGGAGGAAUACCGGUGGCGAAGGCGGCCCCCUGGGCAAAGACUGACGCUCAGGUGCGAAAGCGUGGGGAGCAAACAGGAUUAGAUACCCGGGUAGUC
rnacentral:rRNA from 1 species